GCCCGCCUAGCUCAGUUGGUAGAGCGCAAUUCAGGUUGUUGUGGUCGUGGGUUCGAUUCCCACGGCGGGCA